CGGUAGAGAGCUUCUGGAUCGAGAACUUCUGGAUCAGGGAGGUUGAUGUUGGCCCCGAUGGUAAGAUCCGUUAUGAGGAUUUCAUCACCAGAAUGGUUGCUAAGUAAACUCCUCACAUAUCAGAUCCUUGCAAAUUCCAUUCGCUCUGCUUCUGGAUUUUCCUAAAUGUGUUCUUUCUUUUUUCUCAGCUAUUUUUGUAUUACUGUUUCUUCUUCUUCUUCUUAUUAUUAUUUAUUUUUGGUUAACCAUGUUAUGCGCAUUUUGGUUUUUUGCCAUAUUAAUGUGUCAUCAUGUAGCUAACAAUGGAUGGUUUUAGGGAUUCAAAAGUUGCUUGGAUUGAAUAUAUGUAUAUGGUGAGAUCCGAAGCGGUCUUUAUCUGCUUCUACUGUAAUUAUUUAUUGGCUAAAUAGACUACGGCCAUAGUAGGGCAAAUAUGUGUGUGUGUGUGUCAAACUUGUGUUCUAAUUUCAGAGAAGAAGAACGAGCAGAGCAUUGUUUUGGGGGGUUUCAAGUUUCGAUUAUUUUGUUUUUAUUUUUCUGUGAAAUUUUGUUUUCGGAUUGAACGUGACUCAGAGUGUGCAGCCGAAAAGGUGAAAAUGAAUGAGGAAAAAAAGAUUAUUAUAUGAAUAUUUUUUCCCUUUGUUUGAUGCUUUUGCAGGUUUGAGUUGAUAGGGUUUAUCAGUUUAUUCUGCAUCUCAUCUCACUCUCACUCUCCAGCUAUAUUUUCUUCCAUGUUAUCAUUAUUUUUCGAAAAUCUCAAUUGGAGGUAAAUUACCAAAUUUGACAUGAUAAUAAUAUCUACAUUUAAUUUACAUCUUGAGAUGGUGGCUUUUUUUGUGUCUAACAAAACUGAUACCAAUU
rnacentral:lncRNA from 1 species